rnacentral:rRNA from 1 species
AGAAUGAACGCUGGCGGCAUGCCUAACACAUGCAAGUCGAACGAAGCCUUCGGGCUUAGUGGCGCACGGGUGCGUAACGCGUGGGAAUCUACCCUAGGGUUCGGAAUAACUCAGAGAAAUUUGAGCUAAUACCGGAUGAUGUCGCAAGACCAAAGAUUUAUCGCCCAAGGAUGAGCCCGCGUAGGAUUAGCUAGUUGGUGAGGUAAAGGCUCACCAAGGCGACGAUCCUUAGCUGGUCUGAGAGGAUGAUCAGCCACACUGGGACUGAGACACGGCCCAGACUCCUACGGGAGGCAGCAGUGGGGAAUAUUGGACAAUGGGCGAAAGCCUGAUCCAGCAAUGCCGCGUGAGUGAUGAAGGUCCUUAGGGUUGUAAAGCCUUCGUUUUACCGGGAUCGAUAAUGACAGUACCGGAGAAUAAGCUCCGGCUAACGUCCGUAGCCAGCCAGCCG